AUUCUUGAUGAUGCAAUAUAAAAAAGUCCAUGAUGAUGCAGUGAUCAAUGAAGGUGAUACUAAUGCCAGCAGAGGGAUUGCUGUUUGUAAAGUAGACUGGUAUGUAUCCACCUAGGAUUUCACCAGCAUCUAAUACCACUAUUUAUAGGCUAUCUGAAUUUGGAAAGGCAGCUCAUGUGUACUCUGUGUAAUAUACUAUAACUACACUGUAUCAAGCACAUAAACACUUGCUUUCUUAAGUAUAUCUCUGUACUGUGCUUUUUAUCUUCCAGACACUGCAUACUUAUACCUAAUCAUUUCUAUUUUCAGGGAAGCACUUGCUAAAAUUUUAAACUUCCUUUAUCAAAAUCCUUUAAUAAGCCAGAAAAAGACUUUUAGCCACCAUGUGAACAUUUAAGUCACUAUUUUAGAUGUAGUUAGGUUUUGUUUAUGAAAUGCCAUUGACCUAUGUUUAAUCAAUUUUUAAACCUUCAAGAUCUGCUCAGCAGCCACCUCUAAUUCAGAAGAAAACUGGAGUGAACCAUAUUUUUCAUCCAUUUUCAGUAUCAUUCAGCUGCCUGAAUGCACUGUUAGGCAUGAAUUUUUUGAUUUAAAUGAAAAAACAUGUUGACAAGUCUAUCAGAUUCUGAAUAUAGCAAGAACAGAAUAAUGUUACUCCUAAGGGAGGAAAGAAAUAGAUCCUUAAAUCCCCUAAAGGAAGCUCCUUCAUAUAGCAGGUACAAAAUAACACUAAAAGAAGUGCACAAAUGCUGACAAAAUCUAUGAGCAAAAAAAACCCCAAAACCUCUAUAUUUUCCCAAAUUUAAGCAAACUUGCAGUAAUAUUUUUUCUGUCUUACCAAUGCCUUAUUUUGGUGUUUGUCUCUCUGUUCCUUUCUAAGAGAAUUGUCCAUUGACCUGCUGCUGCGUGCAGGAAAUGGGAACUCAGGAAAAGGUGUGAAUGAACAGGAGAAAUGGAAUGAGCAAAGAUGAACACAUGUAGUAGAAAAUCUGCAGCUGGCUGGGCAGCAGGAGUUUCAUGUGAGCAAACAAAAAAUGCAGACAUAGAAGCUGAAAUAAGUAGCACUGAGUGAAUUUUAACUCUGCAAUUGAUUACUUUAUGGAACAGAAGAUCAAUAUCCUGCAAGUAUAGAAGCCAGAUAGGGAGUUUCUUAAUGGAGAUAAACACCAACAUUCACUACGCAUUUGACUUAAAUCUAGAGAUGGGUGGAGAAGAAGAGACAGGAAGAUCACAGUGGGACACCUCCAGCAAAUGUCCUCCUGAGGCAUUGUGCCCUGAUGGGAGGCGGCUGCAUGCAGACGGCAGGGAGGUACCUCCAGACAAUGGGCACAGGGAUCCAUCCCCGGAGAACUGGAUAUACAAGCACCAACUAGCGGAGACCCUGCCUAUUACCUAUUGCUGGCAUAGACAGGGAGACAGAGCUGACGAGGAUGCCUACGGCAAUGUAAUGAAGUCCUAUUCUCAGACAUCAGUAAUGGGCAAACUUCAUAUGUAAUUUUCCAACUAUAUUUUAAAGCCCAUUUGGUGACAGUGAAAUUCCUCAAAUCAAUGAACUUCUAUAAAAACUACAGAAAAGUUCUCCCAGUAAAAUCUUCUCACCU